rnacentral:lncRNA from 1 species
AAUCUCACGCUUCCCAGGCAGCUGGAGUUUCUUCUAACUGGGCUGUGGAGUACAUGACAUGGAAGGCAAUGUGGUUAAAGGCAUGCGUUUCAGAAUCAGACUCCCCUGGGUUCCAACGCUGGCUCUGCCUUUUAUUGUCUGUAUAAACUUGGGCAACUCUGUGAACUUGUGAAAAUAUUUGUCAUAAUAUAGUCUUUGUGACUUUGUGCAGAUGAAAUGAGAUGAUGCAGGUAAAAGGUUUAUCACAGUAUUCAACUUGCAAGUGCUUAAAAGGAAGCUACUGACUUCAUCACCUACGUGAACUUGGAAAGUUUACUUAUGAAAGGCUUUUUCUUACCAGGGGGAUGAGAGGGCUGGUUACCUGCUGCCUGCCCCCAUCUGUGAGCUACUGCGCUGAUGCCUGAUUGUCACCUUGUGCCUGUUUGACCUUAUGCUCAGUGGGCAUUUGGAACUCCUGCACCAUCAAUCAUUUGUUGAAGACCAACUGUAUGCCAGGAAAGGUGCCAGACAUUGGGGCAAAAGGAAGACUAGGAUUUUGUUCCUUUAUGAGAGGAACUCUAAGUCUACUAUGGUAUAUAUAAUUUUUCCUAUAUUAUGAUUACUUAAAAAUGUGUUGGCCUCCCCUUUGAGACAGAUAUAUCUGAAGAUAAUAAUAAUGUAAGGUGUAACUAUUGAAAUUGCUCAGAACAGCAAAGUGACUUCUCAGAGGUCACUAUGCAACACUUCCAUUUUCAUUUAUUGGCCAGAAAUUUAGUCUCAUGGCUGGGUCUAGUUGUAAAGGGAGUUGGGGGAAUGUACUCAUUUAAUGGAGGGACAAGGUGCCUAGAUAUAAACUCAAGUUCUAUCCCUAAGAAAAAAAGGAGAGAAUGAAUUUGGGGAGUCA